UACGUAGGUGGCGAGCGUUGUCCGGAUUUAUUGGGCGUAAAGCGCGCGCAGGUGGUGCGGUAAGUCUGUCGUGAAAUCUCCUGGCUCAACUGGGAGGCGGGCGGAUACUGUCGGGCUAGAGUCCGGAAGAGGCGAGUGGAAUUCCUGGUGUAGCGGUGAAAUGCGCAGAUAUCAGGAGGAACACCGGUGGCGAAGGCGGUGGUCUGGGCCGGAACUGACGCUGAGGAGCGAAAGCGUGGGGAGCGAACAGG
rnacentral:rRNA from 1 species